CCUACGGGAGGCAGCAGUAGGGAAUAUUGCUCAAUGGGGGAAACCCUGAAGCAGCGACGCCGCGUGGAGGAUGAAGGUUUUCGGAUUGUAAACUCCUUUUGUUAGAGAAGAUAAUGACGGUAUCUAACGAAUAAGCACCGGCUAACUCCGUGCCAGCAGCCGCGGUAAUACGGAGGGUGCAAGCGUUACUCGGAAUCACUGGGCGUAAAGAGCGCGUAGGCGGGAUAGCAAGUCAGAUGUGAAAUCCUAUGGCUUAACCAUAGAACUGCAUUUGAAACUGUUAUUCUAGAGUAUGGGAGAGGUAGGUGGAAUUCUGGGUGUAGGGGUAAAAUGCGUAGAGAUCAAGAGGAAUACUCAUUGCGAAGGCGACCUGCUAGAACAUAACUGACGCUGAUGCGCGAAAGCGUGGGGAGCAAACAGGAUUAGAUACCCGGGUAGUC
rnacentral:rRNA from 1 species